CAUCUACCCACUCCUGUCUUUGCCGUGCUUUUGUGUGGCGCGCUGUGGGCCCGGUACUUGGGGAGAAUGGGGAUCCAGACCAACCAGGCUGCUUUGCUGUUAUUCCUGCCACGCCUAUUUCCUCCUCAACAGUGUGGGGAUCUCCAGUUUUAGAAUUGCACCCUGUGCUCCUGAUUGCUCUUUCCUUGGUGCCUGUCUUGCUGAGGGUCCUUUCUAAUUAGCCAG